CCCUUUGUGACAUACCUAUAACUGUUGCUUCGGCGGGUAGGGUCUCCGCGACCCUCCCGGCCUCCCGCCUCCGGGCGGGUCGGCGCCCGCCGGAGGAUAACCAAACUCUGAUUUAACGACGUUUCUUCUGAGUGGUACAAGCAAAUAAUCAAAACUUUUAACAACGGAUCUCUUGGUUCUGGCAUCGAUGAAGAACGCAGCGAAAUGCGAUAAGUAAUGUGAAUUGCAGAAUUCAGUGAAUCAUCGAAUCUUUGAACGCACAUUGCGCCCGCCAGCAUUCUGGCGGGCAUGCCUGUUCGAGCGUCAUUUCAACCCUCAAGCUCUGCUUGGUGUUGGGGCCCUACAGCCGAUGUAGGCCCUCAAAGGUAGUGGCGGACCCUCCCGGAGCCUCCUUUGCGUAGUAACUUUACGUCUCGCACUGGGAUCCGGAGGGACUCUUGCCGUAAAACCCCCCAAUUUUCCAAAGGUUGACCUCGGAUCAGGUAGGAAUACCCGCUGAACUUAAGCAUAUC
rnacentral:rRNA from 1 species